rnacentral:rRNA from 1 species
GACGUAGGCGGGUAAUUAAGUUGGACGUAAGAACCAUCUGCUCAACGGAUGGCCGCCGUCCAAAACUGAUUAUCUUGAGUCUGGCAGAGGAGAGUGGAACUUCUGGUGUAGCGGUGGAAUGCGUAGAUAUCAGAAGGAACACCGACGGCGAAGGCAGCUCUCUGGGUCAAGACUGACGCUGAGGUCCGAAAGCUAGGGUAACGAACG